rnacentral:rRNA from 1 species
GAUGAACGCUGGCGGCGUGCCUAAUACAUGCAAGUCGAGCGAACGGACGAGAAGCUUGCUUCUCUGAUGUUAGCGGCGGACGGGUGAGUAACACGUGGAUAACCUACCUAUAAGACUGGGAUAACUUCGGGAAACCGGAGCUAAUACCGGAUAAUAUUUUGAACCGCAUGGUUCAAAAGUGAAAGACGGUCUUGCUGUCACUUAUAGAUGGAUCCGCGCUGCAUUAGCUAGUUGGUAAGGUAACGGCUUACCAAGGCAACGAUGCAUAGCCGACCUGAGAGGGUGAUCGGCCACACUGGAACUGAGACACGGUCCAGACUCCUACGGGGGGCAGCAGUAGGGAAUCUUCCGCAAGGGGCGAAAGCCUGACGGAGCAACGCCGCGUGAGUGAUGAAGGUCUUCGGAGCGUAAAACUCUGUUAUUAGGGAAGAACAUAUGUGUAAGUAACUGUGCACAUCUUGACGGUACCUAAUCAGAAAGCCACGGCUAACUAUG